AAAGGCCUCGUUCUUGCUACGACUUCCCCCAGUCAUGAAUCCACAGUGGUAAGCGCCCUCCCGGAGGUUAAGCUACCUACUUCUUUUGCAACCCACUCCCAUGGUGUGACGGGCGGUGUGUACAAGGCCCGGGAACGUAUUCACCGUAGCAUUCUGAUCUACGAUUACUAGCGAUUCCGACUUCAUGGAGUCGAGUUGCAGACUCCAAUCCGGACUACGACGUACUUUAUGAGUUCCGCUUGCCCUCGCAGGGUCGCUUCCCUUUGUAUACGCCAUUGUAGCACGUGUGUAGCCCUACUCGUAAGGGCCAUGAUGACUUGACGUCAUCCCCACCUUCCUCCGGUUUAUCACCGGCAGUCUCCUUUGAGUUCCCGCCAUCACGCGCUGGCAACAAAGGAUAAGGGUUGCGCUCGUUGCGGGACUUAACCCAACAUUUCACAACACGAGCUGACGACAGCCAUGCAGCACCUGUCUCAGAGUUCCCGAAGGCACCAAAGCAUCUCUGCUAAGUUCUCUGGAUGUCAAGAGUAGGUAAGGUUCUUCGCGUUGCAUCGAAUUAAACCACAUGCUCCACCGCUUGUGCGGGCCCCCGUCAAUUCAUUUGAGUUUUAACCUUGCGGCCGUACUCCCCAGGCGGUCGACUUAACGCGUUAGCUCCGGAAGCCACGCCUCAAGGGCACAACCUCCAAGUCGACAUCUUUUACAGCCCUGGACUACCAGUGGUAUCUUAAUCCUGGUUUGCUCCCCACGCUUUUCAAACCUGAUCCGUCUUUCUUUUGUUCAAGGGGGGCAGCCUUUCCCCACCUGGUAAUUCCUCCCACAUUCUCUAACACAUUUUCACCCGCAUACAACAUGGAAAUUUCUUACCCCCCCCUACAACUAAGGAUCUCAUAUC
rnacentral:rRNA from 1 species